rnacentral:rRNA from 1 species
CCUACGGGGGGCUGCAGUGGGGAAUAUUGGACAAUGGGGGGAACCCUGAUCCAGCCAUGCCGCGUGUGUGAAGAAGGCCCUCGGGUUGUAAAGCACUUUCAGUGAGGAAGAACGCCUGGUGGUUAAUACCCAUCAGGAAAGACAUCACUCACAGAAGAAGCACCGGCUAACUCCGUGCCAGCAGCCGCGGUAAUACGGAGGGUGCGAGCGUUAAUCGGAAUUACUGGGCGUAAAGCGCGCGUAGGUGGCUUGAUAAGCCGGUUGUGAAAGCCCCGGGCUCAACCUGGGAACGGCAUCCGGAACUGGCAAGCUAGAGUGCAGGAGAGGAAGGUAGAAUUCCCGGUGUAGCGGUGAAAUGCGUAGAGAUCGGGAGGAAUACCAGUGGCGAAGGCGGCCUUCUGGACUGACACUGACACUGAGGUGCGAAAGCGUGGGUAGCAAUCAGGAUUAGAUACCCCAGUAGUC